GCAGACCUCCCGUGUGGCGUUACCCCACCGAACCUCCCCAGGGCAGGAAUGCAGCAAGGAUAGGCGGGCUCUGGCGGGUGCACGGGAGGUCCUCUGC
rnacentral:SRP_RNA from 1 species